GACGAACCGUGCGACCGUUGUUCGGAAUCACUGAGCAUAAAGGGCGCGUAGGCGGCUUUUCAAGUCAGGGGUGAAAUCCGGCAGCUCAACUGUCGAAGUGCCCUUGAUACUGAUGAGCUCAAGGGAGGUAGGGGUGUGUGGAACUUCCGGUGGAGCGGUGAAAUGCGUUGAUAUCGGAAGGAACGCCGGUGGCGAAAGCGACGCACUGGACCUCUUCUGACGCUGAGGCGCGAAAGCUAGGGGAGCAAACGGG
rnacentral:rRNA from 1 species